UACGGAGGAUGCGAGCGUUAUCCGGAUUUAUUGGGUUCAAAGGGUGCGUAGGCGGGCAUUUAAGCCGGCGGUCAAAUGUCGGGGCUCAACCCCGGCCUGCCGUCGGAACUGGGUGCCUUGAGUGGGCGAGAAGUAUGCGGAAUGCGUGGUGUAGCGGUGAAAUGCAUAGAUAUCACGCAGAACCCCGAUUGCGAAGGCAGCAUACCGGCGCCCGACUGACGCUGAGGCACGAAAGUGCGGGUAUCGAACAGG
rnacentral:rRNA from 1 species